GUUAUAGGGUCAAGCGAACAAGUGCAUGUGGUGGAUGCCUUGGCGAUCACAGGCGAUGAAGGACGCGGUAGCCUGCGAAAAGCUACGGGGAGCUGGCAAACAAGCUUUGAUCCGUAGAUGUCCGAAUGGGGAAACCCACUCCUUUUGGAGUAUCCAUGGCUGAAUACAUAGGCCAUGUGAAGCGAACGCGGUGAACUGAAACAUCUAAGUAACCGCAGGAAAAGAAAUCAACCGAGAUUCCCAAAGUAGUGGCGAGCGAAAUGGGAUGAGCCUUGCACUCUU
rnacentral:rRNA from 1 species